GAAUAUAAAGAAUGUAGGAAGAUCUUCAUCAUUUCUUAAAUACAAUAUGUUAGAAAUUUUAAGUUUGAGAAAAAAAUUAUAGAAAUUAAUCAGUAAGUACAAUAUCAUUAUGUACAAUAUUACAUCAAUCAAACUAUAGAUAACCUGAGGUACCUAUUACUACAACUUUCAUGCUAUAAACAAUUUUCCUUGUGUGUCACAUGUGGAGCAGAUUAACAGUAACUGAUUUAUUAGUAAGUUUCAUUCCUUCAUUGUUGUAAUUCAGCUUUCAUGGUGCAGUAGAUAAUUAUAUAACCAUAACUAGACAGUCUAGAGUAACAUGCUAUUAGGAGAAUGACAGUUCAUAACAGAAACAGCAUUAAAUAAGAAUUAUUAUUUUGCAGACACAAAGCAAUGAGGAGCAGUCUGGAGCAACACAUUUGAUCUUCAGUGGCUUUACAAAGGACCAAGUGAUGGCAGAACUGAAGCUAUAUGCCUCAAAAGAGAAAGGUACAGCAAAGCUCUUCAGAAUGCUAUUCAAUAUAGAAGAGAUUAAAGGCCGCUCAUUGUUUGUAUGAGGAAAAGGGAACAGAGAGUCUGACACCAGACCUUCUUGUGCAGACAAGGCAAAACUUAAGUUCUUGGAAGUUUUAGAUUGUGCGCUCGAAAAGUUGCCGACAACCUAAAGGACUGAACUCAAACCGUCCAGGAAUAGCAAGAUAAACUGAAGAAAAUAAAUGGACUAAUGUUUUGCUAUUUUUUGAGACAAUAUAUAAUUUCAUAUGGGAACAUUAAAAAGGAUUAUUUUUAAAAUUUGUUUGUUUCCAAUUUAGGGUACAGGGUGACUUUCAAGCAGUUUCCAGCUAUUGCCACCCACAAGGUGAAAAUUUUCUGAAAGGGUGAAAAUAGGUGGCAUUUAGUGGAAACUGAAUUUGCCACUAUCUGGUGGCAAAAUGGUGGAAAAGUGUCUAAAUACUCCACCAAUUUUCCACCCUUAUGGUGGCAUUUGGUGGAAAUAAGUGGCAUUUGGUGGAAAAUAAGUUUGCCACUCAAUGGUGGCAUAAUGGUGGAAAUUUGUCUAAAUACUCCACCAAUUUUCCACCAUUAUGGUGGCAAUAAGUGGAAACAAGUGGCAUCUAGUGGAAAAUGAGUUUGCCACCCUAAGGUGGCAUAAUGGUGGCAUUAUGGUGAAAGUUUGUCUAAAUACUCCACCAAUUUUCCACUUAUUGGUGGCAUUUAGUGUAAAAAAGGUGGAAUUAACUGGAAAAUUAUAUAACAUCAGUCCUGCUCAAAUUUUUCACCAUUUUCAUGAUUUGGGUGGCGUUUUGGUGGCAUUAUUGGUGGAAAAUUGUCUAAAUACUCCACCAUUGAAAAGGGUGGCAUUUUAGUGGCAAAUCUAGGGACGGGCAUGU